UCCGCCGCUCCCUUCUGGAAGCGGUCAACUGUGAAUCCCAAGUCCACUUCCAGCACAGGCCAGGGCCUGAUGAGCUUCCGUGGAAGGAUCCCAACCGUCUGAGUCAGAAGACAGAUGCGAGGAUGUGGAAUUGGAGGGACAGUCUGGGUCCCCAAGGAGGAGCCGUUACUUGUGUGCUUUGGCGAGGAGCCAUUUCAUUCCCCGAGCCUCUCUUUCCUCAUCUGUGAAAUGGGAGUGUCUCACAUUGUCCCUCACAGGGCGACCCUUCAGAUGAAGAGAGGGAGAGAGCUUCUGCCUGGCACACUGCCCUGUGAAAGCUCAUGACCCCACGAUGUGCGUGGACGGGACUGCGCUGCCACAGAGCAGAUCUCUGGGCCCCAGCUUCCUCGUCUCUGGAGGAGAGUGAAAAUCCUGCCAACUCCAGGCUACUCCAGAGGACCUCGGACAAGUUUGGGGAGCAGAUGGUGUGCAGCAGGGAUGGUGUGUCACAGAGGGGUGCCCCUGUGGGCUCCCGAUGGAGGAAGUCAGAGGAGCAGAUGCCCGGAGCCCCGUUCUGUGGUCCUAACAUGCAGGCCACCUAGCAGGGAGGCCCUUUAACUAAAGAAGAGGAGGUCCAGGAGCGUCUGGGUGGCUCAGACGGGUAAGAAUCUGACUCUUGAUUU